UACCUACGGGACGCAGCAGUCGGGAAUAUUGCACAAUGGAGGAAACUCUGAUGCAGUGACACCGCGUAUAGGAAGAAGGCUUUCGGAUUGUAAACUAUUUUAGACAGGGAAGAAAAAAGACAGUAACUGUAGAAUAAGCUCCGGCUAACUACGUGCCAGCAGACGCGGUAAUACGUAGGGAGCAAGCGCUAUACGGAAUUAUUGGGUGUAAAGGGUGCGAAGACGGGACAGCAAGUUAGUUGUGAAAGCCCUCGGCUUAACUGAGGAA
rnacentral:rRNA from 1 species